UUCGAUUACGACGAUAGAGUUAAACACAAGAUAUUCCGAUGGGAGCAGUUCACUGGGCAAACAAGAUAAGAUAAAAGCGCAUUACCAAGUGUUAAACACUCGUGCACUCUGGCGCAGACGUAUUAUAAGAAAUGUUUGAAAUUUAACGAUUUUAAAAUUUUUAUCACUCCUCACUCUCCUCAUCCAAGACUUCAGUUUUCUAUUGCUAACUUUUGUCGCAUUUCUUGUUACAUUAAGUAAACUCACUUCGAUUGUACUUCGACAUCCUGAAAGAGUUUCUUGAGCUUGAGCGUGAGGUGCUGCUUUGGAUCUAUCACUUCUUCUCCCGUUGCUCUGCUAGCUGCUGGACUUGUUGAAACGCAGGAACCACAUUCCACAACACGUGUUCUGCGUCUACGACUAAAGUUGGUCACAGUUCGAAAUCCCUUUCAAAGGCCCUACAGUCCUUUGCGACACAGCACUUCGCAACCCCGCUGUCCAUGAAGGAUGGGCUUAGAUCGUGUGUUUUUGAUCUACAGACGACUUCGUCCAAGCCUUUGUAGAGGCAAGCGGAAUCCUCUAUCAAAGGUGCUGCAAAUAAAUGAAAUAGAGGGUAAAUAAAAAUAAGUAACGGUAGAUUUGAUGAAUAGAUUACUGUAAACAGCAGUCUCUAAUUAACAAUAAGCAGUUUUCAAGGUGAAUGGAAUUAUCGAUUGCAGGCCCUAUGUUAGUCUUCAACUUUGUAAAUUCGUCGAUUUAAUAUCAUUAUAUUCAGCUUGCAGAUCCGUUUACGUUUCGCUCGCCAAUCCAUCUCAAAUCAGUCGGUGCAUAUACCUAUCUGGUAUUAACACUGCAGUAACAAUCAACGAUAAAAAUACAAAAGUGAAAUGUCAAAAGUUAUAAAUUAUACUAGCAGCAUUCGAAAAUUCAUUUUUUAAUCAUAACUUGACAACUAAUAGGAUUCAGGAUAAGAAUUGCUUGUGACAAGACGCGUGGUGGUUUAGUUUAGCUAUACAUAUAAUUUACAAUAUAAUGUAACAGAGGUGUUAAGGAAUUAAAGUAAAGAAUAUUUUAUUUAAAAAGUACAGUAAACAGGUCCUUAGAAUUGCUAAUCAUUAUAACAAUAAUAAUAACGUAUUAAGGUGAAAUUUUUAUAGUUUUUCGGUUUUACCGAUUUAAAAUUACAAUAUUUACACAUCAAUCAUAAUGUUUGACGAAUGACGAACGGUAGACCCAUAAGGUCCUUUUGCGGCCACAACUUGGGUCAGACCCACUGAGCAAGCUCAGAGGAUGAGGCGAAAGGGCAACCCCCGACACCAUAGUCUAUAUGUGUCGCUACUCUAACAAGGUGACUAUCCUUAUAUGACUACUCGAAUAAUUAUGCUCGAUCAGACCAAAGGAAUGGGACAAGCAAGACAAUCACAAUCAAAAGUGAGAAGGAACAGAGUGAAAUGGAAAGACAGAAGGAAAGAUAGAAAUAAAGAAGUUUAAAAGUAGAAAAGUAAGG